rnacentral:lncRNA from 1 species
GGUUGUUUUCAGGAGACUGAAGUACUCUACUGUAGAUUAAACCCCUUAUCAUUGAUUUACCCCUUAUUUACCCCUUAUCAGAUUAAACCCCUUAUCAACAACAACUGUUGUUGCAUUAAAUAUUUUGAAUGGGUGCGCAGCAACAGCUUCAGUUCAGUUACAUGAAGAAAGAUACCAGAAUGGCAACACAAGGUAAACAUGCCUUCACACAAAACAUUGUAAUGCAAAUCUCACAGGAA